rnacentral:lncRNA from 1 species
GCCUGGAUUCCCUCAGCACCUGGGAAACAGGACUCCCAGGAUAAAAAGUUCCCUUUCUAACCAGACCAGCUGAGACUGGUUGAAACCAAGAUAGCUGACCGAGAAACUUCAAAAAGACCUUCAGCCUUAUUAUCAUCUCAUUUCCAUGCUCAGUGACACGCCCACAGUGCCAUGAUGGUUGGAAAUCACCAUGACGAUGACUGGAGGAAGGAAGGUCGCGCUCCGGUUCCAGGAAGCUCACUGCCCGCUCCCGGAAAAGACAUGAAUAUUCCUCCCCUUGCUUGGUGUGUCCAACCCUUUCAUGAGACAGUCAGUGUGUGUCAGCCUCCCCACCCCUCCCAGGCUGAGUGGAUUUGUGAGCCGCACUCCCACUUCUCAAUGCCAGGGCCACGGAAUGAAGCCUGCACUGCGGACACUCACUUUCGGUUUCAUGUAUUGGCUUCGUGACACCCCACAGCGAAAGACCCUCUGUUCUGGGGGAAUGACUGUGUUGGUGACAAAACCAUGCUUUCUGGAUCACUGUGGUAUUACGGCAGGGCUUGAAGUCAGGUAUGUGGGUUCUCCAACUCUGUUCUUUUUUCUUCCUCAUGGUGUUGGCUGUCCGAGGACUUUCGCCUUUCCAUAUGAACUUUAGACUCAGGUGGCAUCGCCUGCAGAAUGCCUUGCUGGGAUUGGCCGGGAUUGAACGUUAGACUCAGGUGGCAUCACCUGCAGAAUGCCUUGCUGGGAUUGGCCGGGAUUGAACGUUAGACUCAGGUGGCAUCACCUGCAGAAUGCCUUGCUGGGACUGGCUGGGAUUGAACGUUAGACUCAGGUGGCAUCGCCUGCAGAAUGCCUUGCGGGGAUUGGCUGGGAUUGAACGUUAGACUCAGGUGGCAUCGCCUGCAGAAUGCCUUGAGGGGAUUGGCCGGGAUUGAACGUUAGACUCAGGUGGCAUCGCCUGCAGAAUGCUUUGCUGGGAUUGGCUGGGAUUGAACGUUAGACUCAGGUGGCAUCGCCUGCAGAAUGCCUUGCUGGGAUUGGCCGGGAUUGAACGUUAGACUCAGGUGGCAUCGCCUGCAGAAUGCCUUGCUGGGAUUGGCCGGGAUUGAACGUUAGACUCAGGUGGCAUCACCUGCAGAAUGCCUUGCUGGGAUUGGCUGGGAUUGAACGUUAGACUCAGGUGGCAUCGCCUGCAGAAUGCCUUGCGGGGAUUGGCUGGGAUUGCAGCGAAUCACCUCUUGGCUCUAAUAGCCAAAAUUCAUAGCUGUGCAGAACUCUCUUUGAAAAAAUGGCCAAUGAUUACAUAAGAGUGAAUCCAAUUCCCAUUAACAAAUCUUAAUAUAAUACAUCCAACAAAGCUACGUGUAGAAACUAAGUGACAUCAAACAUAUGCUUGUCGUAAUCACGUGUGUUGAAAACUGUGUUGAAAAGUGCACCAGGUGCCAGUAGGGGCCAAGGGACCUAGGCCCCUUGCCAAGGUCAGCGCAUGCUGACCUGCGCUGGUGGUCGGGUGGAGGGCUCCAUUUGCAAACAGGCGACAGUUGGCUGCCAAUCUUGUUGAUCAUUUAUUUGCUGAUCAAAAAGGAAUUCUGUCAGUACUGUGCACCCUAACACAAUAUUUGGACCUUCAUACAUGUAUUAGUCGGUUUUCCUGCUGCUAAUAAAGACAUACCCAAGACUGGGUAAUUUAUAAAGGAAAGAGGUUUAAUGGACUCACAGUUCCGCAUGGCUGGGGAGGCCUCACAAUCAUGGUGAAUGGCAAAGGAGGAGCAAAGUUGCAUCUUACAUGGCAGCAAGCAAGAGGCCUUGUGCAGGGGAACUCCCAUUUAUAAAACCAUUAGAUCUCAUGAGACUUACUCACUAUCACGAGAACGGCAUGGGAAAUGUCUGCCUCCAUGAUUCAAUUACUUCCCACCAGGUCCCUCCCACAACACAUGGGAAUUAUGGGAGCUACAAUUCAAGAUGAGAUUUGGGUGGGGACUCAGCCAAACCAUAUCGAUACAUAAGCAUUUUACUGGGCUUUGGCUGUAUUAAGGGAUUGAUUGGAGAUUUUAAGAUCAUACAUUAUAAUUUUUCCCAUUUAAAAUAAUGCAAAAUGUGUUCUUCAUUGAUGCUUCCAAGCACAGAUUCUGACAUUUUGCAACAGGAUUCCAAUGUUAAGAGAAAGCUCCGUGUCACUUACUGGUUCUGAUGGGUCAGACCUGGACUCGGGGAAUGGAGGGGCUGGGUUCCUCCUAAACCACAGGGACUGAGGUGGGGUACGAGUGACUACCCAAAAGAACACUGGGGUUCAUUUAGCAACAGGAUGGGAAAUGGAUACUGAAAAGCAAAAUAACAAAUUUUACAAAAAUGUUUUCUGUCCAAGAAUUAAAUAUGUGACACAUCAAUGUGUUCAAUGUCCUUACAUAUUAUGCGUAAGACAUCUGGGCACAGAUAGGAAGGCAGGACAGGUCUGAGCACCUCCCGCCACCUCUCCCCUCCCGGCUCAGGAAAGCUGCUCACAGCUGCAGCCAGCCCGGCCCCCCGCCCUCACCUGCUCCCCCUGCUGUCUCCAGAGUCCCUGGGCUUUCUCCCCCUCCACCUGUUUCCUCUCCUUGGGCUGCCUCUCCCAGGCUAAACAUGCCCGGGGCACAUCAGUGUUGAAAAGAGCUGUUUCUCUGCUGUCCUCACCCCUAAGCUACAGGCUACACCUUGUUUCCCACCCACGGAGAAUCUUCUAGGGAAAUUAGUGCACAGGAUAAGCUUUUAACAGAUUAUCAGAAACGUUUUCAUCCUAGUGUUUCCUGUGACCAUGUGGCCCGCCCAUCCAGGAUGGUCUGCAUCCAGGGAAAGAUGGGGAAGAGGGGAGGGCAGGCCCAGUGGGGGCCUCCCCACCCACAGGCCCCUCCUCCUCCUGAUGGAGCAGCCCCAUCUGCUACAAGCACUCCCCAGGGGUGCGGGGUUCAUGCUUAGAGCAGCAAUCAUUCCUGUUUAUCUGAAAUUCAAAUCUGCCUGGCAUCAGGUACAUUCAUUUACUAACCUGCAGCUCCACCUGGAAUGAUUUGGGACAGCCCUUCCCAUCUCCCUGGGAAGGAUCAGUGGUGUUUGGACAGGCACUUUGCACCCUGGGUGCCUGUGAGGUGGGUUCCCCUUCAAGAAGAGGCCUAACCAGUGCUCCUGCUCCCUGGGUCGGGUCUCCUCACAGCCCAGGGUCUGGGUGGUCUGCAGGGCAGGCUGUUCUCUGUUCCUCCAGCAAGGAUGACCACUGCAGGUGGGGCUGCAGGGAGGCCAGGUGCUACCAGGUAGAGGCCAGAGCUGGGUCGCUCAGUUCGCUCUGCUCUUGUCCUCAGACCCCGAUGCCAGCUCUAGAAAGAGGGGCCCUUUUGCCUUGGCCUCUCCAUGGGGCACAGGCCUCCCUCCCCACCCCACCACGGCAGUGGGGGCAUGAGCUCCAGGGACACCUGCUUUCCUCACAGCCCUGCCCUGAGGACGCUGAUUUGCCUUCUUGCCACAGGUCCAGAAAAGUCUGGAUUUGAUCCUGGCACCGAGGAGGGUCUCUGUGAGCUUGGACUCCUCUCCUGACAGGGGGAAGGGCAGGGCCAGUGCAUCUCACAGCCAUGGCAGGCUGAUGGGACUGUCACACAGCUUUUUGGCCUUGAACUCAGGGCUUAAUGUUAUCAUAUCACUUAAUACUCCCAGGGACCUGGGUGAGGUACAGUCCCAUUCCCAUUUGACAGAGAGGAGGCUGGGGUGCACUGAGAGGUAAUCAGUGUGCUGGCGACAUUUAACAGCCAGCUCUCCAGAAACAUAAAUCACCCUGAUUUGUGGAGAUUGCCAGGUUCCCAGGCACAAAUAUUCCCAGCACAUCCAAUUUCAAGUGCUAGCAGUUUAACAACUGGCUCAUAAAACCCCUGAAAAUGUGAGAGUCGGCUCCCACAAGCUGCUGUGGGACAGCCCCAGCUCCCUGAUAACCUUCUAGGACCUGCCCUAGUUGGGGAGGAGACGGAUCCAGACCCCAAGGGCCUGGACACCAGGGGGGCUCCACUCAGAUCCUCUGGCCCUCACCAUUCCCAGGACCCCCUCUUGGGCUUCUGUGUUCUUCUCUCUCCAGGGCUGGCUCCUGACACUCCUCUUUAAACAACUGUCCUUAGGCCACUGAGCCCGACCAGCCCCACUGCAGUGAGCCGAAGUGGCCUGGGGGCCAGCCAUGCUGAAGCUGCCUCCUCCCAGCUUGUGGGAUAUGAUUUUGGUGUUUACAGUUUUCAGGAAUUAUAUAAACCAGGUAUGACACAGGCUGAACAUCAGUCAUGGUGAAAUUAUUCACAUCCCAGGAACCUGGCAGGGGCUGUGCUGCUGCUGCCCCUGGGAGUGAGUUGUCCCACACUCAGCAGCUCGCCCUGUCUCAUCCUCCCCACCUAGCGAGGCUUUGACCAGUGACGGGGGUGUGGGAACCUCCAACAGGGCGGCUGAGGCUGGGUUCACGCUCCAGGGCGCCCCUGCAGGACCACAAGGAAGCCAUUGCAGUCAGGAGACCUGGCGCUCAAAGCUUCGCUUAUCCUGACCCUGUGCCUCUCCCCGCUCCCUCCCGGCCCUCCCUUCACGCGUCACCUGUUCCCAAGUCCUCAUCCCAGGAUCUGCUUCCGGGGACCAGGCCUGAUAGGCUCCAAAGCUCUGCUCUUAACCAGCACCGCAACUGGAGGAAAAGCAGGAGGCAUUUGGCUGUUGAUGAUCAUGACAUUUUCAUUAUUCUGUGUGGUUUGGGUUUAUUUUACCCAAGGAGCACAGUCCACAGAAAAUAGAACAUUUCAGGAAUACCAACCAAGCUAAGUAACAUGUUCACAUGAUAUUUAUUAAAACUGUGAUGAAACCGGCUCCACAAACCGUUGAUAGAAGAUGGGCUGUGUAAAACCGGUACUGGGAAAACGGGUUGUCUGUGUGGAGGAAAGUAAGACUGAAUCGCUAACCAAUACUGCAAACAAAGAUGGAGUCUAGAUGGAUUAAAAACCUGAAUAUGAAAAGAGAGAAAAUAUGAAAACAUAUAGAGUCUUUGGGAACUUGUGCCUGGGAACAAUUUUUUAAACACAUUUGGAAAGCAUAAACCAUAGAAAAAUGAUUAGUUUUGUCACAUCAAAACAAAGGAUGCCUGCUUAAUGAAGAAGACCAUGAACAAAAUCAUUAGACGACUGGCAAAAUGGGAAAAGAGAUUUGCAAAGUUUAAAACUGGAACGUGAUCAGUGUGUCAAAUAUACAAUGUAACUUUGUAAAUCAACAAGGAAACAAGGAGAAAUCCCAAAGAAUGGACAGAGCGAUGUGAGCAGGCAACACCCAGGAGAGGAAAUCCCAACAGGCCAAGAUGCCACACCCAGGCUGUCUCCUGUCACUCCUGGCGGUGAUUAGGAAGCUGGCGGCUCCCAGCCUGGGCAGGGACGCAGGGAUGUCCUGCAGGUGGGGGUGGACGGAGGGCCCUGGACCCAGCGGUCCCACCUCAAGUAGACACCCAGGGAGGUGCUGACCCAGGCCCACAGAUGACCUCUGAGGCCCACAGAUGACCUCUGAGCCUGUCUGUGGGGGCCGGGAGGGGCACAGGACCUGGGUGGGUGUCCCUGGGAGAACAGAGAGGAAAAUGGGGUGGGCGCACACGGAGAACCAUGCAGCAAUGAGACAGCAUGAGCUGGUGCACACGGAGCGAUAUGAGAGCAUCUUUAAAACAUGAUUAUUUGUAAAAGUUUACAAAUACACAGAAUGAAAUUAAUCACAUGAGACCAUUGACGUUCAUGCCCGGAAACAGCAAUGGGCACUCUCCAAGAACACGUCCCAAUAAAAAGAUCGUCAU